AUCAAUGGCCAUAAGUGUUUGCCUGAUAAUAAACGGCCAAGAUCUGGCCAUCAAUUCCUCAUACAAUUAGGUUCUUCUUUGUUUCCUUCUCCUUCAAAACUGGCUCCUUCUCUGUUUCUUCUUCUCCACUUCAUUCAAAAACAAAAACACAGCAAAACAGAGCGAGAGUGCAGAGUAGGAAAAGCCUGUGUCUGUAGUGAGGUGCCAUGAGUGCAGAAGGAAGGAUUCUUCUUCCUUUUGGUCUAGGCUUAGAACACUGUAACAAAGCUUCAACCGGAAGCUCUCCAUCUACUUGAACAGUUCUGCAAACACAGUUCCCGUGAGUUGCAGAGUCAAAUUUUCAAAUUUUCCAAAGUUUCCUCGUGCAUUUAGGCUUCCGAUUUGUGUGUUUAACAGAUGAAGAAAUGAUGUUUUAAAAAAAUGGGAAAAAGGAACGGAGACGGGCAUAUUUGUUUUUGUCAAGCAACCGGGCACCCAAAGUGGCGCUACAGCAGUACCUCACGGCUUUGCUGUGCUGGUUCGCGAAGGAGUGUUUUUCGGGCACCAAAUAACCUGGAACCACUUAUGGCACAAUGCAUUUCUGCAUAGUGCAGAGGAACUUCGGGCAU